AUGCUGUUGCCGGUGAUGAUCCACGACGAGCGCUUGGUGGCCUUGGUGGACACAGGCUCCACCCAUAACUUCCUGCCCGAGGCUACCAUGCGGCGCUUAGCACUUCAACCGACGGGCGGGGAGCAAAUUCGGGUCCCGGUGGCCAACGGCGAUCGUCUCCGGUGUCAUGGACUCGCCCGGGGCGUCCCCAUCACCAUCGGCGACGAACACUUCUCUAUCACAUGUGCGGGCAUCGACUUGGGCUGCUUCGACUUCAUCCUUGGCGUCGACUUCCUUCGGACCCUUGGUCCCAUCCUUUGGGACUUCGAGGCUCUGACGAUGACCUUCUGGCGACUGGGCCGCCGCAUCCGGUGGGACGGCAUUGGGGGCGCCGCUCCGGCGACGCCGCAGCUCCAGCUGGCUGCGGCAACCUCUGAGGCCGAGCAUCCCCUACUGGAUCACCUCCUGCAGCAGCACAACGACCUCUUCGACGAGCCACAGGGCCUGCCACCGGCCCGGGUGUAUGAUCACCGUAUUCAUCUACUGCCGGGCUCCGCACCGGUGGCGGUUCGUCCUUACCACUAUCCGCAGCUGCAGAAGGACGAGUUGGAGCGGCAGUGUGCACUCAUGCUCACCGCGGGCAUCAUUCGGAUCUCCACGUCGCCCUUCACCGUGCCGGUCCUCCUCGUCCGCAAGUCGGACGACACGUGGCGCUUCUGCAUCGACUACCGCGCCCUUAAUGCGCUCACUCUCAAGGAUAAGUUUCCUAUUCCGGUGGUCGAUGAGCUACUGGACGAGCUCCAUGGGCGCACUUCUUCACCAAGCUCGAUCUCUGGUCGGGGUACCACCAGGUGCGCAUGCACCCGGACGACAUCGCCAAGAUGGCGUUCCGGACUCACCACGGCCACCUCGAGUUCUUGGUGA
rnacentral:rRNA from 1 species